rnacentral:rRNA from 1 species
GAUGGAGGGUUUGAUCCUGGCUCAGGGUGAACGCUGGCGGCGUGCCUUACACAUGCAAGUCGAGCGAAGCUGCUAACUGGAGUCCUUCGGGGUGAAGGUUAGUAGACUGAGCGGCGGACGGGUGAGUAACGCGUAGGUGACCUACCCUUCAGAGGGGGAUAACUGUGGGAAACUGCAGCUAAUACCCCAUACGUUCGCUAGGGAGAGGUACUAGCGAAGAAAGGGGCGUAAAGCUCUGCUGAGGGAUGGGCCUGCGUUCCAUCAGGUAGUUGGUGAGGUAAAGGCUCACCAAGCCUACGACGGAUAGCCGGUCUGAGAGGAUGGCCGGCCACAAGGGCACUGAGACACGGGUCCUACUCCUACGGGAGGCAGCAGUGGGGGAUAUUGGACAAUGGGCGGAAGCCUGAUCCAGCGACGCCGCGUGCGGGAAGGAGCCCUUCGGGGUGUAAACCGCUGUGGUGGGAGACGAAUAAGGUAAGGAGUGGAAAGUCUUACCGAUGACGGUAUCCCACUAGGAAGCCCCGGCUAACUACGUGCCAGCAGCCGCGGUAAUACGUAGGGGGCGAGCGUUACCCGGAUUUACUGGGCGUAAAGGGGGCGUAGGCGGUCGUGGAAGUCCGGUGUGAAAAGCCACGGCUCAACUGUGGAACUGCGCUGGAAACCACGCGACUUGAGGGCGGUAGAGGGAGACGGAACUGCUGGUGUAGGGGUGAAAUCCGUAGAUAUCAGCAGGAACGCCGGUGGGGAAGCCGGUCUCCUGGGCCGUACCUGACGCUGAGGCCCGAAAGCUAGGGGAGCGAACCGGAUUAGAUACCCGGGUAGUCCUAGCCGUAAACGAUGCCCACUAGGUGUGGGGGAGUGAUUCCUCCGUGCUGAAGCGAACGCGAUAAGUGGGCCGCCUGGGGAGUAUGCCCGCAAGGGUGAAACUCAAAGGAAUUGACGGGACCCCGCACAAGCGGUGGAGCGUGUGGUUUAAUUGGACGCUAAGCCAAGAACCUUACCAGGGCUUGACAUGCUGGUGGUACUGACCCGAAAGGGGAGGGACUCUCGCCGAGAGGUGAGGGAGCCGGCACAGGUGGUGCACGGUCGUCGUCAGCUCGUGCCGUGAGGUGUUGGGUUAAGUCCCGCAACGAGCGCAACCCCUGCCCUUAGUUGCCAGCGGUUAGGCCGGGGACUCUAAGGGGACUGCCGGCGACGAGCCGGAGGAAGGAGGGGAUGACGUCAGAUACUCGUGCCCCUUAUGCUCUGGGCGACACACGCGCUACAAUGGGUGGGACAGCGGGAUGCGAGCCAGUGAUGGUGAGCGAAACCCUGAAACCCACUCGCAGUACGGAUUGCAGGCUGAAACUCGCCUGCAUGAAGUCGGAAUCGCUAGUAAUCGCGGAUCAGCCACGCCGCGGUGAAUACGUUCCCGGGGUUUGUACACACCGCCCGUCACGCCACCCGAGUUGGCAGCGCCCGAAGGUGGUUACUCCAACCUGAGAAGGAGGGGGGCUACUGAGGGCGAGGCUGGCGAGGGGGGCGAAGUCGUAACAAGGUAGGUGUACCGGAAGGUGCGCCUGGAUCACCUCCUUUCUAAGGA